UCUCUUUGAUAGCUAGUGCAGUUUCCAUCUUCUCUGGAUCAAUACCCAUUGAAUACUUAUUAACUCCUUUUCAAAAACCCAUAUUUGAUCUUUCAGCUUCAUCACCCUUGACGAUAACCCCUCUAUGACUCUGCUUUGCCAUUUAUUUUUUUUUCUCAUCUCCUGCUAGUCAUCCUCUAAAGGGUCUUCAGUCUGAGCUAACCCUUCUAUGGCUCUCUUCUUGA
rnacentral:sRNA from 1 species